rnacentral:rRNA from 1 species
AACGAACGCUGGCGGCGUGCCUAAUACAUGCAAGUCGAACGCUUCUUUAUCCACCGGAGCUUGCUCCACCGGGAAAAGAGGAGUGGCGAACGGGUGAGUAACACGUGGGUAACCUGCCCAUCAGAAGGGGAUAACACUUGGAAACAGGUGCUAAUACCGUAUAACAAUCGAAACCGCAUGGUUUCGUUUUGAAAGGCGCUUUACGGUGCCGCUGAUGGAUGGACCCGCGGUGCAUUAGCUAGUUGGUGAGGUAACGGCUCACCAAGGCCACGAUGCAUAGCCGACCUGAGAGGGUGAUAGGCCACAUUGGGACUGAGACACGGCCCAAACUCCUACGGGAGGCAGCAGUAGGGAAUCUUCGGCAAUGGACGAAAGUCUGACCGAGCAACGCCGCGUGAGUGAAGAAGGUUUUCGGAUCGUAAAACUCUGUUGUUAGAGAAGAACAAGGGUGAGAGUAACUGUUCACCCCUUGACGGUAUCUAACCAGAAAGCCACGGCUAACUACGUGCCAGCCGCCGCCGUAA